CGCGUAGGCGGCCUGGCAAGUCAGUUGUGAAAUCCCUCGGCUUAACCGAGGAACUGCGACUGAUACUGCCAGGCUUGAGUCCCGGAGAGGGUAGUGGAAUUCCCAGUGUAGCGGUGAAAUGCGUAGAUAUUGGGAGGAACACCGGUGGCGAAGGCGGCUACCUGGACGGGUACUGACGCUGAGGCGCGAAAGCGUGGGGAGCAAACA
rnacentral:rRNA from 1 species